GUGUGAAGAAGAGGCGAGAACGACCCCCGGACCGACCAAAGCCCGCGCGCGCUGCAUCCCGCGUCCAGUACCUACGUCCCGCCGCCGUCACCACCAUGCCCAAAAGAAAGGCUGAAGGGGAUGCUAAAGGAGAUAAAGCCAAGGUGAAGGACGAACCACAGAGAAGAUCCGCGAGGUUGUCUGCUAAACCUGCUCCUCCAAAGCCAGAGCCCAAGCCUCAAAAGGCCCCUGCAAAGAAGGGAGAGAAGGUACCCAAAGGGAAAAAGGGAAAAGCUGAUGCUGGCAAGGAGGGGGAAAGCCCUGCAGAAAAUGGAGAUGCCAAAACAGACCAGGCACAGAAAGCUGAAGGUGCUGGAGGUGCCAAGUGA